rnacentral:rRNA from 1 species
CCUACGGGAGGCAGCAGUGGGGAAUCUUGCGCAAUGGACGAAAGUCUGAUGCAGCCAUGCCGCGUGUAUGAAGAAGGCCUUCGGGUUGUAAAGUACUUUCAGCGGGGAGGAAGGGAGUAAAGUUAAUACCUUUGCUCAUUGACGUUACCCGCAGAAGAAGCACCGGCUAACUCCGUGCCAGCAGCCGCGGUAAU